rnacentral:lncRNA from 1 species
UUACUACCAUAUUUACUCCCACUUAUUCAACUUACCACUUUUAUUUCAAAUUACCUUUUAUUUCUAUUAUAUUAUGAAUAUGAAUAUCUUUUUAUUUAUUACCAUUAUUACCAUUAUUAUUACUAUUAUUACCAUUUUUAUCAUUAUUACUAUUAUUAUCACUACUAUUAUUAAUUAUUAUUAUAUCAUUUUUUAACAAAAAAAUAUAUAUAAAAAAUAUAUGCUGCAAAGCAGCGUCACCUCUAACUUCUUUCCCAUUAUUUUCAGUUUUCUAUUUUCAAUUUUUCACCAGGCUUUCACCAAAUUCACACUAUCAAAAGUUUCAAUCACUUCUUCCCACUUCCAUCCUUGCAAUACUAUUUCUUCUGCCAAAACACACUUUAAUCCAAACUCAGUUUUAUCAAUUGGUCUCAAUAAUUUAUAAAUUUAGUUUAUAAAUUGAGGAAAAAAAAAAUCAGAAGAGAGGGGAGUUAGUUAGAGGCAAAAGAGAGGCAGAAACAAAGAAUACAACCAGAUUUUUAUAAUCCAGCAACAAAUGCUUCAAUUAUUUUUUUAUUUUU